rnacentral:rRNA from 1 species
AACGAACGCUGGCGGCAUGCCUAACACAUGCAAGUCGAACGAUGCCUCCGGGCAUAGUGGCGCACGGGCGCGUAACGCGUGGGAAUCUGCCCUUGGGUUCGGAAUAACUCGCCGAAAGGCGAGCUAAUACCGGAUGAUGACGUAAGUCCAAAGAUUUAUCGCCCAAGGAUGAGCCCGCGUAGGAUUAGCUAGUUGGUGGGGUAAAGGCCCACCAAGGCGACGAUCCUUAGCUGGUCUGAGAGUAUGAUCAGCCACACUGGGACUGAGACACGGCCCAGACUCCUACGGGAGGCAGCAGUGGGGAAUAUUGGACAAUGGGCGAAAGCCUGAUCCAGCAAUGCCGCGUGAGUGAUGAAGGCCUUAGGGUUGUAAAGCUCUUUUACCCGGGAUGAUAAUGACAGUACCGGGAGAAUAAGCUCCGGCUAACUCCGUG